GAUGAACGCUGGCGGCGUGCCUAAUACAUGCAAGUCGAGCGAACAGACGAGGAGCUUGCUCCUCUGACGUUAGCGGCGGACGGGCGAGUAACACGUGGAUAACCUACCUAUAAGACUGGGAUAACUUCGGGAAACCGGAGCUAAUACCGGAUAAUAUAUUGAACCGCAUGGUUCAAUAGUGAAAGACGGUUUUGCUGUCACUUAUAGAUGGAUCCGCGCCGCAUUAGCUAGUUGGUAAGGUAACGGCUUACCAAGGCGACGAUGCGUAGCCGACCUGAGAGGGUGAUCGGCCACACUGGAACUGAGACACGGUCCAGACUCCUACGGGAGGCAGCAGUAGGGAAUCUUCCGCAAUGGGCGAAAGCCUGACGGAGCAACGCCGCGUGAGUGAUGAAGGUCUUCGGAUCGUAAAACUCUGUUAUUAGGGAAGAACAAAUGUGUAAGUAACUAUGCACGUCUUGACGGUACCUAAUCAGAAAGCCACGGCUAACUACGU
rnacentral:rRNA from 1 species